rnacentral:lncRNA from 1 species
CGCUGUGCCAUGUAGUUUACUUUCCAACGUUUUCAUGCCAGUACUUUUUUCUCCACAGCCACCAGAACCUGGAAGCGUUUCAAGAGUGCGUAAGUUUUAAAAUCAGAGAUCACUCAGUCACUGUUGGUUGUGCAGCACACGACAAAGGUCAUUAGACCACCACGGCCGUGUAUAGAAGUUCAUGAUUAGAUGGAUGACUGUUGCCGUCUGCUCAGGGACUGCUGCAUGUGAUAGUGAUGUCCCCUUCUUGCCCCAGUUUUUCUUGUUCCUCUUCUGUCGUUAUCACUAUUUAACUAAGUUUAGUGAUUUCGGCUCUUUGAAAAGGAGAUUUAAAAAAAAACAAAAAAAAAAAACACGGGAAGUCCUCAGAUAGAAAUUGUUAACAGACAUAUAAUCUGUAUGCUGUAUAAAAUAAUACUGAAUCUAUAAAUCUCGCGUGAAUUUAUUGACAGGGGAUCUGACACUAACUCGACUGAAUCGCUUCUUUUCAAGGCAUUCUCUUUCAUUUUACUUUUAUGAAAGUUCCCAUUUCGACAGGCACUUGACAGGAAAGUUGAAGUCGCUCGUCCCCAAGAGGCAGCGCCAGUUUGGACGUCUGACCCCAAGAGGCAGCGUUUGAUAACUUGAGUUGUGAGGUCGUUCGUCCCCAGAGACCGAGUCAUUUAGUGAAUAACAUUUGUCCCCAAGUGGAGACGUCAGUUGUGUUUUGUUUGAUUGCUUAUACGAUUCAGAUUACUUAUGUGUGUGUAAAAGAUAUAUAUAUAUAAUUGAUUAUGGAACAUUAAUCCUCAGUUACUGGUAGUACAGUGAAAGCAGUGUUGUGCCGGAAUAUAAAAUUUAUUAUUUUUAUGUUUGAUCUUCAACCAAGAAAAGGAACUUUCUUUCAGAGCUGUGUUAAAAUUAGAUAUCUGAGAUAAUAAUAAGGUUUGAUUGAUGUAUUUUUUAUUAGUUGCUAUUAUAGUUGAGGAGUUCUCUAGACUAGGAGCUAACCUCACACACCUGCCUCUAGUCACAACAUUCCGUAACACUUCCUGUCCACAGUUUACCUCGAAGUGUUUACACCUAUAGGUGAUUAAUUUUCGCUUUAUGCAUGGAGACGAGAGAAAACUGAAGUACCCGGAGAAAACCCCCGACGGCCGACCUUCUGAACAGACGUCACAUAUAAAGUGUGUCCUGAAGCUAGAUCUGAACCCAUGACCUCUCUCUCUGUAGUGGUGCCGAACGAGUGUUUUAAACACUACACUAUCAGACGCUCUAAUGUGAACGGUGUGUGACAGCACUGAUCGUGUAGGUCAGUGACAGCAUUAGCAGACCACGUGGAUGAGACAGGCAAUUUGGUUUCUGUUCGUCUCAUAGUCUAGCUGCUGUCGGACAUUGAUAAAAACAGUUUGCCCGAGCUGUUAGCCAGUGAUCCCAGUUGAGUUCUUGCAGUACCGCCUCUUCUCAGUACAUCCUACUGCGACAACUUCACUGUACACUGUAAAGAACAUCUACUCAAGACACAACUUCAAACCGGUGUAUCUCUGCUAUAUUCAUUUUGAGUCGAUAUUUGUAUACUUGUGUAUUUUACUUUAUUUUGUGUUUGUAAAGUGAAUUGCGCCUAAAAUGUCUUUUAAAAGUAGGAGAAAUAC